UACGAAGGGGGCUAGCGUUGCUCGGAAUCACUGGGCGUAAAGGGCGCGUAGGCGGUCAGAUAAGUCAGCUGUGAAAACCUCGGGCUUAACCCGAGGCCUGCAGUUGAAACUGUUUGGCUGGAGUGUGGGAGAGGAGAGUGGAAUUCCCGGUGUAGCGGUGAAAUGCGUAGAUAUCAGGAAGAACACCCGUGGCGAAGGCGGCUCUCUGGGACGGUACUGACGCUGAGACGCGAAAGCGUGGGGAGCGAACAGG
rnacentral:rRNA from 1 species